ensembl:lncRNA
GGGGAUCUUCAGGGAUACCUGACCCUUCCCAGAACCCCUACGCCCUGACCAGGACUCCGGGAAUCAGCCCCUCACGCUCCCCCAGCUCUUACUGGAACCCUCUAGCCCUGAGCCUCCAAUCCUGACCCUGUGGUGGUCACAGUGCCCUUGUUGUGGUCCCAGGGUCAGGUCAGAGCGAAGCACUGCGGAAGAUCAUCAUGGAUGCCUUGCAUUUACUGGAGAAGCAGAAGGACAAGAGUGAGCAGGGAUGUGUGUGCGGAUGAGACGUAUAGGAGGUUAGGGGCACAGGGGACAGGACUCGGAGGGCUUGAAUGGGGAACCGUGGGAAUGUAGGAUGUAUGGAGUUCUGGGGUGGUGUCAGGGCAUAUUUGGGGAAUCCUGAGGGUGUAUGGGUUUCAGGGUAUAGAGAGUCUGGUGCUUUGGGGGGGUAUUUAGGGGCAUAUGGAACUAUGGGAUGGGCAUAUGGGAUCCAGAUGAGUUGCACAGGGAAUGUGUGGGAUUAGUGGGGGCAGGAGCGUUGACAUGGGGACAAUUGGGGGGGGGACAUUGUCUGAUGUGGACAUCUGUGAGCCCCCAGAGCCUUUCGAGGUGUCUCUGCAGGAAGCCAUCCAAAUGAUUUGGGUGAAGCUGGGCCAGUUGGAGCAAGGUAUGAGGCCAGCAGGGACCCCCGUCCAGGACUCUUGCCCAAGUGAACCCUGGGACUCCACCCGCCCAGCUUCCCCACCCGGGGCACGCAGACGCCCUCCUGGACAUUUACACCCCAGAGAUCCCCACUCUGGGCACCCCUUUCCUGGAGACACCCCCAGGGACCUCAUGCCAGGGCUGGACGGGGGCUGAGCCCUUACAGCUCAUCACAGGGAUGAGGACCCCUUGCGACCCCCAGUUUAACGAUGCUUCCCCAACCAGCUCCUGCCUGCAUCCCCCCCUGCGGGCACCAGCCGGCCGCCCGCGUCUUCCAGUGCGCGACCUGCCGCCUCGUGGACUGCCAGUUCCCUGUAGACUGCCCAGUUCAGGACGUGUGGGUCCACGAGGAUGAAGC